UGGGGAAUAUUGGACAAUGGGCGCAAGCCUGAUCCAGCCAUGCCGCGUGUGUGAUGACGGCCUUAGGGUUGUAAAGCACUUUCGCCGAUGAAGAUAAUGACUGUAGUCGGAGAAGAAGCCCCGGCUAACUUCGUGCCAGCAGCCGCGGUAAUACGAAGGGGGCUAGCGUUGUUCGGAAUUACUGGGCGUAAAGCGUACGUAGGCGGAUUGUUAAGUGAGGGGUGAAAUCCCGAGGCUCAACCUCGGAACUGCCUUUCAUACUGGCAAUCUUGAGUCCGGGAGAGGUGAGUGGAAUUCCUAGUGUAGAGGUGAAAUUCGUAGAUAUUAGGAAGAACACCAGUGGCGAAGGCGGCUCACUGGCCCGGAACUGACGCUGAGGUACGAAAGCGUGGGGAGCAAACAGG
rnacentral:rRNA from 1 species